AAGGUUCCGGCGCACGAAAGGGUCCCACUCCACACACACAGAGCCCCUCCCCUCCGGUCCCGCCCCGAGGCGGGGCCGCUCGGCCGUGGAAACGGGGCUCGGUUGUGCCACUCACGGCUCUGCUGUUCUAGGGCUGCUCGGGAAACGUGUCCUGGCCGUGCGGCUCCAGGGCUGUCCGAAAAACGGGCCCGGUUCCACCGCUCCCGGGGAAACGGGUCCAGGCUGUGCCGCUCCUGCGUUUCCCGGGAAACAGGCCUCGUCUGGGCUUCCUGGGCUUCCCAGGAAACAGACCCCGGCACUGCCACUCCAGGGGAAAUGUGUCCCAGCUGUGCCGCUCCAGGGCGGCCAGGCAGGAGCGGGACCUGCCCUGGCCCGGUCCCAGCCGGGGCGGUGUACGGGGGCUGUUUCCGUGGGGAGGUCGGCGGGGAAAGGCGUCACUGCCCUGACCAUGCUGGUCUGUGGGCUAUUCCGACUGGAAAACGUUCGGAUAUGGCUUAGAAGUGAAGGCAAGCACUGGAGAAGGCUGCAGAGCAGGAGGAGACAGGAAGUGUUAAAAUAAACAUGAAAAGGGCAA